AUUGAACGCUGGCGGCAUGCUUUACACAUGCAAGUCGAACGGCAGCGGGGAGGAGCUUGCUUCUCUGCCGGCGAGUGGCGAACGGGUGAGUAAUACAUCGGAACGUGUCGAGAAGAGGGGGAUAACCACCCGAAAGGGUGGCUAAUACCGCAUAAAUUCUGAGGAAGAAAGCUGGGGACCUAGGAAUAGGCCUAGCGCUUUUUGAGCGGCCGAUGUCGGAUUAGCUAGUUGGUGAGGUAAAGGCUCACCAAGGCGAAGAUCUGUAGCGGGUCUGAGAGGAUGAUCCGCCGCACUGGGACUGAGACAAGGCCCAGACUCCUACGGGAGGCAGCAGUGGGGAAUUUUGGACAAUGGGGGCAACCCUGAUCCAGCCAUGCCGCGUGUAUGAAGAAGGCCUUAGGGUUGUAAAGUACUUUUGUUAGGGAAGAAAAGUCAGCUGUGAAUAAUGGCUGAUACUGACGGUACCUAAAGAAUAAGCACCGGCUAACUACGUGC
rnacentral:rRNA from 1 species